GCGGGUGUCGUAUAAUGGUUAAUAUACGAGUUUUCCAAACUUGUGAUCAGAGUUCGAUUCUCUGCACCCGCACCA
rnacentral:tRNA from 1 species